rnacentral:rRNA from 1 species
GACAACGCUGGCGGCGUGCCUAAUACAUGCAAGUAGAACGCACAGUAUAUACCGUAGCUUGCUACACCAUAGACUGUGAGUUGCGAACGGGUGAGUAACGCGUAGGUAACCUGCCUGGUAGCGGGGGAUAACUAUUGGAAACGAUAGCUAAUACCGCAUAAUAUUAAUUAUUGCAUGAUAAUUGAUUGAAAGAUGCAACUGCAUCACUACCAGAUGGACCUGCGUUGUAUUAGCUAGUAGGUGAGGUAACGGCUCACCUAGGCGACGAUACAUAGCCGACCUGAGAGGGUGAUCGGCCACACUGGGACUGAGACGCGGCCCAGACUCCUACGGGAGGCAGCAGUAGGGAAUCUUCGGCAAUGGACGAAAGUCUGACCGAGCAACGCCGCGUGAGUGAAGAAGGUUUUCGGAUCGUAAAGCUCUGUUGUAAGAGAAGAACGGGUGUGAGAGUGGAAAGUUCACACUGUGACGGUAUCUUACCAGAAAGGGACGGCUAACUACGUGCCAGCAGCCGCGGUAAUACGUAGGUCCCGAGCGUUGUCCGGAUUUAUUGGGCGUAAAGCGAGCGCAGGCGGUUAGAUAAGUCUGAAGUUAAAGGCUGUGGCUUAACCAUAGUACGCUUUGGAAACUGUUUAACUUGAGUGCAGAAGGGGAGAGUGGAAUUCCAUGUGUAGCGGUGAAAUGCGUAGAUAUAUGGAGGAACACCGGUGGCGAAAGCGGCUCUCUGAUCUGUAACUGACGCUGAGGCUCGAAAGCGUGGGGAGCGAACAGG